rnacentral:lncRNA from 1 species
UGCUUUUAUUGUUUGAUCUUAUCCUGCCACACACACAAUGUUUCCCAAGGAUGGAUCUCCGACUCAUAUUAGUUCUUUUUCCAGAAGGUUGAAGCCAAGCAAUCUUUACUGCAUGUCCCCGAAGAAGACAGGAAAACAUGGGAUCUUGGAAUUUGUUAGAACCAUGCUUUUAAACCACACGGACCUGAUACAUGGAAGAAAAGCUUUAUACCACUCAGCUGAGACUCUUUCCUAGCUUGCACAGCCAGUGCAUAUUUUAAGAUUAUAUAUAGUGAGUUUCUCUGCAACCUCAAGAUUUGGAUUCCCAGUGAUCUAUAUUAAAAUCACCAUCGAAGGUAUAGGGUUUGUUGGUACUUUGUUGGUACCUAGUUUGUUAGCACCACCAUAACCAGGCAAUAAACUUGACAGUUUAACAAGGAGAAAGGUGUUG